ACACAUGCAAGUCGAGGGGCAGCAUAAUGGAUAGCAAUAUCUAUGGUGGCGACCGGCGCACGGGUGCGUAACGCGUAUGCAACCUACCUUUAACAGGGGGAUAACACUGAGAAAUUGGUACUAAUACCCCAUAAUAUCAUAGAAGGCAUCUUUUAUGGUUGAAAAUUCCGAUGGUUAGAGAUGGGCAUGCGUUGUAUUAGCUAGUUGGUGGGGUAACGGCUCACCAAGGCGACGAUACAUAGGGGGACUGAGAGGUUAACCCCCCACACUGGUACUGAGACACGGACCAGACUCCUACGGGAGGCAGCAGUGAGGAAUAUUGGUCAAUGGACGCAAGUCUGAACCAGCCAUGCCGCGUGCAGGAUGACGGCUCUAUGAGUUGUAAACUGCUUUUGUACGAGGGUAAACGCAGAUACGUGUAUCUGUCUGAAAGUAUCGUACGAAUAAGGAUCGGCUAACUCCGUGCCAGCAGCCGCGGUAAUACGGAGGAUUCAAGCGUUAUCCGGAUUUAUUGGGUUUAAAGGGUGCGUAGGCGGUUUGAUAAGUUAGAGGUGAAAUUUCGGGGCUCAACCCUGAACGUGCCUCUAAUACUGUUGAGCUAGAGAGUAGUUGCGGUAGGCGGAAUGUAUGGUGUAGCGGUGAAAUGCUUAGAGAUCAUACAGAACACCGAUUGCGAAGGCAGCUUACCAAACUAUAUCUGACGUUGAGGCACGAAAGCGUGGGGAGCAAACAGGAUUAGAUACCCUGGUAGUCCACGCAGUAAACGAUGAUAACUCGUCGUCGGCGAUACACAGUCGGUGACUAAGCGAAAGCGAUAAGUUAUCCACCUGGGGUGUACGUUCGCAAGAAUGAAACUCAAAGG
rnacentral:rRNA from 1 species